rnacentral:rRNA from 4 species
UCCGUAGGUGAACUGCGGAAGGAUCAUUG